GAUUAUGGCUCAGGAUGAACGCUAGCUACAGGCUUAACACAUGCAAGUCGAGGGGCAGCAUGGUCUUAGCUUGCUAAGAUUGAUGGCGACCGGCGCACGGGUGAGUAACGCGUAUCCAACCUUCCCUAUAGUAGGGGAUAGCCCGUAGAAAUGCGGAUUAAUACCCUAUGUUGUAUUUUGAGGACAUCUGACGAAUACCAAAGGUUCACCGCUAUAGGAUGGGGAUGCGUCUGAUUAGGUAGUCGGCGGGGUAACGGCCCACCGAGCCAACGAUCAGUAGGGGUUCUGAGAGGAAGGUCCCCCACAUUGGAACUGAGACACGGUCCAAACUCCUACGGGAGGCAGCAGUGAGGAAUAUUGGUCAGUGGGCGAGAGCCUGAACCAGCCAAGUAGCGUGCCAGGAUGACGGCCCUAUGGGUUGUAAACUGCUUUUAUGCGGGGAUAAAGUGAGGGACGUGUCCCUUAUUGUAGGUACCGCAUGAAUAAGGACCGGCUAAUUCCGUGCCAGCAGCCGC
rnacentral:rRNA from 1 species